GUGUCAGCCGCCGCGGUAAGACGUAGGAGGCGAGCGUUAUCCGGAAUCACUGGGCGUAAAGGGCAAGUAGGCGGUUGUUCAAGUUGGGCGUGACAGAUCUCGGCUUAACUGAGAGAGGACGUUCAAUACUGAGCGACUAGAGGGCAGGAGAGGAAAGUGGAACUCCCGAUGUAGCGGUGGAAUGCUCAGAUAUCGGGAAGAACACCGGUGGCGAAGGCGGCUUUCUGGCCUGUACCUGACGCUGAGAGGCGAAAGCUAGGGGAGCGAACGGGCUUAGAUACCCCGGUAGUCCUAGCCGUAAACGUUGGAUACUGGGUAAUGGUGGUCAAGGCCAUCAGUGCCGAAGCAAACGCGUUAAGUAUCCCGCCUGGGGACUACGACCGCAAGGUUAAAACUCAAAUAAAUUGACGG
rnacentral:rRNA from 1 species